GACGUAGGGCGCGAGCGUUGUCCGGAUUUAUUGGGCGUAAAGAGCUCGUAGGCGGUCUGUUGCGUCUGCUGUGAAAACUCGGGGCUUAACCCCGAGCCUGCAGUGGAUACGGGCAGACUAGAGGUAGGUAGGGGAGAAUGGAAUUCCCGGUGUAGCGGUGAAAUGCGCAGAUAUCGGGAGGAACACCGGUGGCGAAGGCGGAUCUCUGGGCCAUUACUGACGCUGAGGAGCGAAAGCGUGGGGAGCGAACAGG
rnacentral:rRNA from 1 species